GCCAAGAAUGCCUUCUCCCUGCCCGGCUAGAAGUUGGAUCCUUCCAAGAGGGAACCUCUCAGGAUUUUCUACGAGUCACUGUCCAAAAAGUACAUAUAUGUUUUCAUUCAUCUGAUUUUU